GUCUCCUUCAUGGUGAAGGAACAAGACGUGGUUAAAUCAUAUGUCGACACACAAGUAUUCCUAAUUCCCCAAAAUAACAGCUUAGCUUGAUAGAGAAUGUUGUCAUCAAUUUUGGGUUAGCAUGUUAGGUUUCAGUUUCCACCACUGUUCUUAAAACCAUUAGACAUUGAACAUUACUUGCGGAAAAUAGAGUGGAAAAUUCUUACCCCUGUUCAGGUAUCUUGAUUGAAAUCCCCCCAAAUGGAAAUUCUGUAGAUAACCAAGUAUGGAGAAUUUUUUGAGUUUUUAUUCGAAUGUAUUUUGUGAAUACUUGAACAUCUUUUAAUUAUAACUAUCGG
rnacentral:lncRNA from 1 species